CCUACGGGCGGCAGCAGUGAGGAAUAUUGGUCAAUGGACGGAAGGCUGAACCAGCCAUGCCGCGUGAAGGUCAGUGCCCUAUGGGCGUUAAACUUCUUUUGUGCGGGAGCAAUAAUGGUCACGUGUGGCCAGACGAGAGUACCGUACGAAUAAGCAUCGGCUAACUCCGUGCCAGCAGCCGCGGUAAUACGGGAGUGGAAAGCGUUAUCCGGGUUGAUUGGGUUUAAAGGGUGCGGAGGCUGUGAGGUAAGUCAGCGGGGAAAUGCCCCGGGUCAACGGGGUGAAGUGCCAUUGAUACUGGCUUGCUGGAAUGCGGAUGCGGUGGGAGGAAUGUGUGGUGUAGCGGUGAAAUGCAUAGAUAUCACACAGAACACCGAUUGCGAAGGCAUCUCACGGAUCCGCGAUUGACGCUGAUGCACGAAAGCGUGGGUAUCAAACAGGAUUAGAUACCCUGGUAGUC
rnacentral:rRNA from 1 species